rnacentral:lncRNA from 1 species
GCGGUACAUUAGAGCGAGAAAUUGGGGAAACUCGGAGAAUAAGGCAAAAAAUUGGUAGAGAGAAAGAGAGAGGGAACAGAGAGGAUUGAUUGAGCCAUGCGCGCCAAUAUCACCGACGCCGUCGUCGCCUCAGAUCGUCUUCUCAUGGCGAGCAGGAUCUGGCGGCGAAGAGGCGGAGGGGAGGGCGGAGCGCCACCGCCCGCCCCCUCGCUCGGCGGCGCCGCCGGCGGCAGACGGCGGCC